rnacentral:rRNA from 1 species
UACGUAGGGUCCGAGCGUUGUCCGGAAUUAUUGGGCGUAAAGAGCUCGUAGGCGGUUUGUCGCGUCUGCUGUGAAAUCCCGAGGCUCAACCUCGGGCCUGCAGUGGGUACGGGCAGACUGGAGUGCGGUAGGGGAGAAUGGAAUUCCUGGUGUAGCGGUGAAAUGCGCAGAUAUCAGGAGGAACACCGGUGGCGAAGGCGCACAUCUGGCCCGAUACUGACGCUGAGGCGCGAAAGCGUGGGGAGCAAACAGG